rnacentral:lncRNA from 1 species
GAUCCUGGUUAUAUCAUAUUGGGCUGCUUACGAACUUAACACUUAAAGGCUUACUAACUAAACACUCGUCAGUUUUAAAAGCUGGAGCGUUUUUCCAGAAAACUUAAACAUACACCUAAAGGCUAGUUGGUGUCGAGGAUGGGUAGGGUGAGUCGGACACAGUGCAAAGAUGGAGGGGGAUACGAAUUUGGGCGAUGAGUGAGUGGAUUCCGCUGUGGAAGCAGGUGUGCUGAACUAACAGGUAAGGACGUGUAAUCCUCAUGCUCAUGUGUGCUUCAUCGAAAAUAAUGUGUACACAAAUUCUUCCCAUUCUUGGUGUAACAGUAGCAGUCUAUUUUCUCUCAGCUGUUAGAUGCCAAGUAUAAACUGAAAAGAUUGAUUACUCAAUAUUAUGUUUCACUUUGAACAAACUACCAUACUAACGGCCCACAUAACAUUCUCACAGGAUAUAUAUGAAUGCCCCAUGGACCUUGUACAAUUUCGUGCUUAAGAUGUACUGUGAGAAAAGAAUCUUGAUUGGAGCAAGUAAAUGGAAAACCCACACUACCAGUUACAGCUUUUGAAGGGAAACAAUAGCAAAGGCAAUGCAUGCAUCAAAUGAAACACUUGAUGCCAAUGAUGAAUACAUGAUAAUAGUAUGAACAGACAGCAGGAGUGAAGGGCUGAAGGAAGAUGCGUGUAUGCG